GGCGCAAUGACCACUCAGGGUGGCAGCAGAGGAGUCAAGCCCAGAGCCAAGCCCCGGAUCUGGUGCCCGCCCACCCAAGCAGUGCAAGAGCGGCCACCAGCAGGAGGGUUGGGGAGACGCCUCCGAGGAAGGGGCUUGGAACAGUGGAAGGGGCUGGAGGAGAGCAGGGUGGCUGGCUUAAAGGCACCAGGGACAAGAACAGACAAGUCAAGUUAUGAAGGAGGGGUGGCAGGCGGUACCGGAAGGCCAGCGUGACCAGGAGGAGGCCGAGAACUCGAGACAGUCAGCUGAGCCAGGAGGAAGCCGAAAAGAACAGGAAGCCACGGCGGCCCCAACGGGAGCCCUGAUCAGGGCGACCUGGCACUGCACUGGCAGGAAGGGCCCAGGGCGCAGAGCCGUCAGGCAGGUACGGGACAAGCCCAGGACUCAGCCCAGGAAGGAGAGGAAUCAGAAGAGGCUGGCUCACCAGGGGACACGGAUGCCAGGAAGUGAGAGGGGGUGAGCAGAAUGGAGCUCCAGAGGCUGGACAAACCCGUGUUUGAUCUGAUCCCUGGGCAGGCACUCUGCUGCUAUCUAGGCAGGAACCCCUUCCUGCGGGGACCUCCCAGACGGCCUGGCAAGGACCCACUUCUGUCCUCCUCUCUGCCAAGGCGAGGGCUGCCAGGGCCAGGGGAGCGAACGAGAAGGUGCUGCCGUGAUGGGCAACCUGGUACCUCCUGGCCACUCCCGAGAAGUGGAGGUCACUGGGGCUUUAAGACCCCCCCACGCCAAAGUCCAAACAAGUGAGGCCCAGAGGAACCUCCCAAGGGGGAGGGGACCAAGGAAAAGGAGCCAGGGCUUCCAGCUGCUGCCCCUACCGUGUGGCCCUCCGGGACACACACUGUAUGGGUUUUAACACGAGCGGUACACCCACUGGAAUUCUGCACAUCCUGUCUGACCACCCCAACCUCGGCACAGGGCCCCAGCCCUGCCUCCCAGCCUGCCGGCAAGGGCAACCAUGCCCCGACGCAGCCUGGCCAUCCGGGGUCCACUGCCAGCCCUGGCCCUGCGACCUACACCAGCUAUGCGCAUCCUCCUCCCCCGCAGAGUCUGUCCUCUGGCACCCAAAGUAAGCCCCCUGACAGGCACUGUGUGAGACCACCUGGGGCCAGCUUCGGAGGGUCCUGCCCCCCAACCCACUUCCCAGUAGUGAAAACACACAGCAGCCUGCAUCCAUCUCUUCACUGUCCUCUCAUUGGCCAGGAAGGGGAAAGAGCACACACCCCUGAAGCCACCAUGUGGCCCUUGGCCCUCAGCCGCAGGAACUGGUUUUUAUCAGAGGCUCUGGGGCAGCCACGUCACAGAUGCUGACAUACACAUUUUGGAAGGCUGUCAUUCCUUCCAUGCCCGCAAUAAAUCAUCCACAAUCAUGUCGCAAUCUAAAUAAUAUCACAGGAAGGCUGGGCGCAGUGGCUCACACCUGUAAUCCCAGCACUUUGGGAAGCCGAGGUG
rnacentral:lncRNA from 1 species